UACGAAGGGGGCUAGCGUUGCUCGGAAUCACUGGGCGUAAAGCGCACGUAGGCGGACUCUUAAGUCGGUGGUGAAAUCCUGGAGCUCAACUCCAGAACUGCCUUCGAUACUGAGAGUCUCGAGUCCGGGAGAGGUGAGUGGAACUGCGAGUGUAGAGGUGAAAUUCGUAGAUAUUCGCAAGAACACCAGUGGCGAAGGCGGCUCACUGGCCCGGUACUGACGCUGAGGUGCGAAAGCUAGGGGAGCGAAUGGG
rnacentral:rRNA from 1 species